rnacentral:lncRNA from 1 species
GUGUAGAAUCAGUAUUAGAACCUGACUUUAUAUCCCCAUCUCUGUGCAUAGUGCCAUAGGUGCUAAACAGGUUAUUUCAAUUAACGUGAUCAGGCACAAAGUACCCUGAACUCUGGUAUAAGUUCUUGGUCCCUUAGAAAAGGAAUCUGCUGCUGUCCUUAAGGAGCCUGUAAGAUUUCUGGGGUUAUAGAAUACAUUGUUUGUAAUAGAAAAUUAUGAAAGGGUGAGUCUGCAGGGCUAAAAUGUUGAAGAGUGUGUGUGCAUUAAGAGUCUUUUAGUUGCAAGUGGUAGAAACUCAACUCAAAAUGGCUUCAGGAGACAAGAAUACAUGUAUUGGAACACUUAACUGAUUCAGAUAUGGCUGGAUCAAUGAGUUCAAAUAAUGCCAUUGGGCAUAUGUCUCCUUUUGUUUUAUUCUUGAUUCUUAACCAGUCUCUCCUCAGUAAGGGAAAAGAUGGGCACAGGCAUCUCCAGGGUCUACACCCUACCAGCUUGUCCUCCCCAGAAUAAAAAUUGUGUCUAUUUCCCAACAUAGGUUUAACAAACAUCCUGAGGUCCGGUAGUUGGCCCAGGUUUGGUGGUAUCUCAUUCUUGGAGCCUGGGGUUGGAGUUGAGCUUCAGGUAAAUCACCUGGACUGAUAAUUUGGAUGUGCUGGCUCCCUCAAAAGAAGAUUGGAGGUUACUUCCAGAAGGAGUGAUUAAUGACAUAGGCAGGCAAUAAAAGAGAAAACAUACUUUCACUACAGAUAGAAUAUUUGGAGUUUCAGAUUAACCCGUUUGUCCCGGUGUGAUCCCUGUUGGCUUCCUGGAGGAGGCAGAUCUUCCCUUUGGCCUUGAUAAACAUGGAGGGUAUUGUGGUGAGGAGAGAAACAGGAAAGGUAUUUCAGGCAGGGAGCCCCUUCUUCGCAAAGACUUAGAUGUGGGAAGAUGUGUGCAGGGGCACUGAGGAGAGGGUUUGCCCUCACAGAAAGGUUAGGGCUAGUGUCUCUUGAUUAGGUCCCUGCUGUGUGCCCACAAGUGAUCGAGCUCCUCGAAGGGCUAUGGAUAGUCGAGAGUCAUCGCACAGUCUCUGGAGGCGGAUGCUUGAGUUUCAUCGUCAUUUUCAAGCUGUGUGAUGUUGGGCAAAAUCUUCACGUUCCAGGGCUCAGUCUCCUGUUCUGAAAAAUGGGAAUAAUAGUACCACCUCGCUGUAAGAAUUAAAGCCAGUGGGGGCCAGCCCGGUGGCACGGCGGUUAAGUGCGCACCUUCUGCUUCUCGGUGGCCGGGGCUUUGCCAGUUCGGAUGCCGGGUGCAGACAUCGCACAGCUUGGCAAGCCAUGCUGUGGUAGGCGUCCCAUGUAUAAAGUAGAGGAAGCUGGGCAAAGAUAUUAGCUCAGGGCCAGGCUUCCUCAGCAAAAAAGAGGAGGAUUGGAAGCAGUUAGCUCAGGGCUAAUCUUCCUCAAAAAAAAACAAAAAAGAAAGAAAAAAAAAAGAAUUAAAGCCAGUGAUGCCCAGAGAGUGCUUAGCAUUGUGUCUGUCACAUUAAUAUUCGAUAAACGUAUUAUUUUUAUUUCCCUCAGUGACAUGAGGUUAGUUUGACUCCCCCCUUUCAGAUGAAGGUAAGUAACACGUGUAAUGUGCUCUGAAUCCGGAGACAUGGCCCUCCUUUUAUCAGAAAGCUCUUUGUUGGGGGGAAAGACAAUUAGAUAGCUAAGGCAGGGCUGAAUCGUGUGGAGUCUUACCUCGUCCUAACAGAGCUGUGCUCCCCCUUGUGGGGUGGAUGGCUCUCGCCGUUGUGAUUCUUCAUAUUGUCGGUUGAAGUCCCGACCAUAUACGCAGGAUGGGGUGGGAUGCGAGCGACAACCUAAGCUCAAAUGGAAGCCCUGCCAUCUGAGACCCCUGGCUCUGAUUGGCCUGCUUCAGCCGACUGCUCUCCCUGGAACACUUGCUGUUGUGAAGGGAAUGCGAUAAGCUGAUUGGCUGAGGCCGGGCUUGGGCGCUCCACGCCAGCUGGGCAGGGGCUGCGCGUGUCCAAGACACGGUUCCGGUGGGGGGAAAUGGGGCUGUAACUGAAAGGAUGGGGGGUGGAUCCCGGGCUCUUGCGAGACUACCUCAUGCCCUAAGGAUAUCAGUCCUCUCUUGAAAUCCCAGUGACACCCACGACAAACACCAGCCUUGGGGAAACGCUGAGGGGGAGCCCCAGCUGUUUCAGGGGUCGCGUGGAAGGAAGCCAGUCUGCUCUAGAAACCCCCACACUGGCGUUCCCGUCGAAGCUGCACUUCCACGCGCUGUGACACCUCAGGCACAUCUUUUAGUCACUCCGGGCCUCAGCUUCCCUCUUUGUGAAAUAGGAAUGUUGAUCCUGGGUUUGCAGUGCUAUUGGUAGGAUAGAUGGGAUACGGGACAUAAAACCCCCCGUACCUGUCACACACCGUCCACGCGGUAACCGCCAGCAGAUCCAGUGAGCUGCCUGGCUUUGAAUCCUUCUGCUCCUCUUAGUAUGUUAUUCAACUCCGUUAGCUGUAUGAUAUCUUCCUUUUUCCUAUUAUUACCUUAUCAUAUUUUUCUUUUUGUUCUAUGUAGUCUUGUUUGGUAUUUUUAAUGUUUUAGAUUUAUUUUUUCAAUCUUAUUAUAACUUAUUCUCUCUAUUUACCCAUUUUAUUUUAUGUUAUCUACAUAGCUUACCAUUUCGUACGAUAUUGUAAAGAGAACAUGAUAUACAGUGUUUAUUUUCUAGUCACCAUUUUUAUCUUUCUAAGACUGCCUUUGAGCGAAUUUCUUCUAUUAGUAAAUGCAAUUAAGUUGAUCCUACUUAUUUAUUUUUUAACCAAUAUUCGUUUCUUUAAAUAUGUUAUUUGUUUUUAAUGCUGGGUCUAAAUACUCGGUGAUUAUCUGUUGUAAUAAUGGCACUGGAACUCUAAGCUGUACCCAGAUACCCCAGCAACAUUUAGCAAUAUUACAUUAGAGCCCUUUGCAAUUAAAAAAAUAAAUAAAAGUACUUUAAUAGCCAAGAUCUUAUUUUUGUCUCGCAAAAGCUCUGCCAGGAGGAAGAGAAAAAAUUAAAGUUCAGAAAAGGCACCCUCUUGACUCAAAUCGCAUAGCUGAAUGGUGGAAGCAGAAUUCUCUUUCUUUUCUUUUGACUCAGAGCCCAUUGUUCUUUCCAUGUUAACAUGUUCUUUUGCUUCAGGACCAUGCACCUGUUGAAUAAAGCCAAAUCCUUGGGAACUGGACUUCACUGUUUUUUUUCAGGACAAUUGAAAUCUCAUUUCCAUCAAAUUUCCCAGAAUGUUCUUCACUAAUCAAAGACAGUGUAGAGUUCACAGCAGGCUGAGGACGUGUCAGGUAUCACAGCAGAUUCUUGAGUGAAUUAUACUAUUUUCCUCCAGCUAAGAGUG